rnacentral:rRNA from 1 species
GACGAACGCUGGCGGCGUGCUUAACACAUGCAAGUCGAACGGGCCCGCUCUCUUUUUUGGGGGUGGGUUGAGUGGCGAACGGGUGAGUAUCACGUGAGUAACCUGCCCCCUGCUCCUGGAUAACUGCUUGAAAGGGCGGCUAAUACGGGGUGUGCCGGCUGGUCCGCAUGGGCCUGGUCGGGAUAGUUUCAUCUUCGGGUGUUUCGGUGGGGGAUGGGCUCGCGGCCUAUCAGCUUGUUGGUGGGGUGAUGGCCCACCAAGGCGGUGACGGGUAGCCGGCCUGAGAGGGUGGGCGGCCACACUGGGACUGAGACACGGCCCAGACUCCUGCGGGAGGCAGCAGUGGGGGGUAUUGCACAAUGGGCGGAAGCCUGAUGCAGCGACGUCGCGUGAGGGAUGGAGGCCUUCGGGUUGUGAACCUCUUUCUCCGGUGGUGAAGGCCCUGUCCGUUGCGGCGGGGUUGACGGUAGCCGGGCAUGAAGCGCCGGCUAACUACGUG